rnacentral:rRNA from 1 species
UAGACGAAUCAUCUGGAAAGAUGAAUCAAAGAAGGUAAUAAUCCUGUAGUCGAAAAUGUUGUCUCUCUUGAGUGGAUCCUGAGUACGACGGAGCACGUGAAAUUCCGUCGGAAUCUGGGAGGACCAUCUCCUAAGGCUAAAUACUCUCUAGUGACCGAUAGUGAACCAGUACCGUGAGGGAAAGGUGAAAAGCACCCCGGAAGGGGAGUGAAAUAGAACCUGAAACCGUGUGCUUACAAGUAGUCAGAGCCCGUUAAUGGGUGAUGGCGUGCCUUUUGUAGAAUGAACCGGCGAGUUACGAUUUGAUGCAAGGUUAAGCAGUAAAUGUGGAGCCGUAGCGAAAGCGAGUCUGAAUAGGGCGUUUAGUAUUUGGUCGUAGACCCGAAACCAGGUGAUCUACCCUUGGUCAGGUUGAAGUUCAGGUAACACUGAAUGGAGGACCGAACCGACUUACGUUGAAAAGUGAGCGGAUGAACUGAGGGUAGCGGAGAAAUUCCAAUCGAACCUGGAGAUAGCUGGUUCUCUCCGAAAUAGCUUUAGGGCUAGCCUCAAGUGAUGAUUAUUGGAGGUAGAGCACUGUUUGGACGAGGGGCCCCUCUCGGGUUACCGAAUUCAGACAAACUCCGAAUGCCAAUUAAUUUAACUUGGGAGUCAGAACAUGGGUGAUAAGGUCCGUGU